rnacentral:rRNA from 1 species
CACGUAGGGGCGCGAGCGUUGUCCGGAAUUAUGGUGCGUAAAGAGCUCGUAGGCGGCUUGUCGCGUCGACUGUGAAAACCCGCGGCUCAACCGCGGGCCUGCAGUCGAUACGGGCAGGCUAGAGUUCGGUAGGGGAGACUGGAAUUCCUGGUGUAGCGGUGAAAUGCGCAGAUAUCAGGAGGAACACCGAUGGCGAAGGCAGGUCUCUGGGCCGAUACUGACGCUGAGGAGCGAAAGCGUGGGGAGCAAACAGG